UUGGGAUGGCAAAAACAGCUUUAAAACUGAGUUUAAUAAGACUUUAACAGUGCUGCUCUGAAUGCUCUGCCAUUUUUUGGAGCCGAAGCAUUAGCUCUGGCAUACCAGAGGCUCUGUUGAAAGACUUGGAGCUGUGAGAUGAAAAGAGGAACUGGCUCCCUGGGGAAAUGCUGAGUGUGCUGCCAACACAAAGCACGGGGAAAGCAAACUCUGUAAUGUUUUGGUCACAGGCUGGAGGACCUAAUCCAUCUUUAAAAUUUCUGACAUCUACAGACAUAUACUUGGCUAAUAACUGCCAUACUUACGUAUUUAAGAGGUGGAAAGAAAACUCUAAUAUCAACUCUUUCAUGGACCUUUUCCCAACCUUGCUGUGUAAUGCCCAUCUGUUUGACCAGACUGAUGGAAUGAAUGAUGAGAGAUGUGUAAAGCUAUUGAAAAUAAUUUUUUCCUGUUUCCCUUUAUUGUAAUCAUAAAAAAUAGAUCAUUAAAGCUGUUUUAUAAACAUGAAUGAGCUAGAAAAUAUUAUGACAGCGUAAGUUGCUAAAGAUACAGAAAUGAAAUUUUUAGAUGAGAUUUAUCUUCUUACUUUAAUUUGUACUCCUGCUGUACUGUAAAUGUAAUAACCAUCAAAAUGAAAAAUGCAACAGAUUGAUAAUACCAUUGAGUUUUAAUUAAACCACUGAAUUGAAAAGGGCCCAGAUGGAUAACUGGAAAAUGUAGUUAUAACCCUGGUAUGAAAAAUGCUGGAUUGCUAGUGAUAUGUCUUGUAAAUAAAUGCUAUGCCAAAAAUAACCUCA
rnacentral:lncRNA from 1 species